rnacentral:rRNA from 1 species
GUCUUUUUGAUUUUAAUUUAAAGUUUAACCUGCCCAUUGAAAAUUUUUAAAAGGYUGCGGUAUUUUGACUGUACAAAGGUAGCAUAAUCAUUAGUUUUUUAAUUGAAAACUUGUAUGAAUGGUUGGAUGAGAAAUUAACUUUUUUAAAAAAAUAAUUGAAUUUUACUUUUUAAUUAAAAGGUUAAAAUAAAUUUAAAAGACGAGAAGACCCUAUAGAGUUUUAUAAUUUAUAUUUAAUAUUUAAAAAGAUUAAUUAAAAUUUUAUAAAAUAAAAUAUUUUGUUGGGGUGAUAAUAAAAUUUAAAUAACUUUUAUUUUUUUUUUACAUUAAUAUAUGAAUUUAUGAUCCAUUAUUGAUGAUUAGAAAUUUAAAUUACCUUAGGGAUAACAGCGUAAUUUUUUUUUAAAGUUCAUAUUAAUAAAAAAUUUUGCGACCUCGAUGUUGGAUUAANAUUUAAUUUUAGGUGCAGCARUUUAAAUUUUAAGUCUGUUCGACUUUUAAAUUCUU